rnacentral:rRNA from 1 species
GAUGAACGCUAGCUACAGGCUUAACACAUGCAAGUCGAGGGACCGGCGCACGGGUGAGUAACACGUAUCCAACCUGCCCUUUACUCGGUGAUAGCCUUUCGAAAGAACGAUUAAUACCCGAUGUAAAGGAUGGGGAUGGGUUUCAUUAGGUUGUUGGUGAGGUAACGGCUCACCCAGCCUUCGAUGGUUGGGGGUGCUGGGAGGAAGGUCCCCCACAUUGGAACUGAGGCACGGUCCAAACUCGUAGGGGAGGAAGGAGUGAGGAAUAUUUGUCAAUGGGCGUUAGCCUGAACCAGCCAAGUAGCGGAAAGGAUGAAGGCUUAUGGGUCGUAAACCUCUUGUAUAUAAGAAUAUGUAUUAGAUGAAUAAGGAUCGGCUAACUCCGUGCCAGCAGCCGCGGUAAUAC